rnacentral:sRNA from 1 species
UGAUCGGUAUUAAUGCGUACGGGGCAA